rnacentral:misc_RNA from 1 species
AAAAUACAUUCCUGCAAUAUCAGCAAUGCCUGGAAAAGUUGUCUGCUGUAGAGAGGGAUCUCAGUGCUGCACACGUGGACUCGCUUAAGUUCAAUGAACGAGCCAGUGAAGCGGGAAAUGAAGCUCAGAAGUUGAAGGAAUCACUUAUCAAACUGGAGGCUGAAAGAGAUGCUGCUCUGAGCAAGCACAAGGAGUAUUUGGAACGGAUAUCCAGUUUGGAGGAUAAGGCUUCUCAAGCACAUGAAGACACGAAAGGAGUAAAUGAGCGAGCAAUUAAGGCGGAAAGUGAAGUUCAG